rnacentral:rRNA from 1 species
ACGGGGGGGGCAAGCGUUGUUCGGAAUUACUGGGCGUAAAGGGCUCGUAGGCGGCCAACUAAGUCGGACGUGAAAUCCCUCGGCUUAACCGGGGAACUGCGUCCGAUACUGGAUGGCUUGAGUAUGGGAGAGGGAUGCGGAAUUCCAGGUGUAGCGGUGAAAUGCGUAGAUAUCUGGAGGAACAUCAGUGGCGAAAGCGACUUCCUGGACCAAUACUGACGCUCAGGUGCGAAAGCGUGGGGAGCAAACUGGA